rnacentral:rRNA from 1 species
UCGGAUCUUCUCCUUCGGGGGGAGUGAGAGUGGCGCACGGGUGCGUAACGCGUAUGCAACCAACCCCUGUCCGGGGGACAGCCGGUGGAAACGCCGGGUAAUACCCCAUGCCCACCACGGGCGGCAUCGCGGGUGGUGGAAAGCCUUCGGGCGGACGGGGACGGGCAUGCGUCCCAUUAGCUAGUCGGCGGGGCAACGGCCCACCGAGGCGAUGAUGGGUAGGGGAUCUGAGAGGACGGUCCCCCACACUGGUACUGAGACACGGACCAGACUCCUACGGGAGGCAGCAGUAAGGAAUAUUGGGCAAUGGGGGGAACCCUGACCCAGCCAUGCCGCGUGAGGGAAGUAGGCCCUACGGGUCGUGAACCUCUUCUGACCGGGGACAAGGACGUCGUCGCGAACGUCGUUUGAGGGUACCGGUCGAAUAAGCAUCGGCUAACUCCGUGCCAGCAGCCGCGGUAAUACG